CAAGAUUAUUGUUAAAGUAGAAUUGUGAAGAAAACAAAAUUUAGAAAUAGAAUUUAUUUCAUUAUUAUCUAAUAAGAAAAGGAUGAUGAGCGUGCGUGCGCGCGUGCGUGCGUGUUGAAACUUGCUGAAGGCAGCUACAUUCCUGGUUGGAAAUCGACGUGCAUGCGCAAUAAAAAUUGGGGACCACAUAAAAAGUUCAGUGUCCAUACUGUAUGUACUUAUACUAAGGCACUAUAAAUAUGAGUAUUCGCA